rnacentral:misc_RNA from 1 species
AUUGGUUCUUGAAUGAAACAGUAGUUUCAGGAGGCUCUUAAAAAUAAAUGAAGAAGGUCCACCAGGGUAUAAAUGCAGAAAGAAUAGACUAUAUAAAGACAGUUAAUAGAAUUAAUGAAAUAAGCAGUGGGCCAAUGAAGGAUCCCAUUGAUGUACCUCCAACUGUUCGUGCAGACGCCUCUGGACAUCUAAUUGCAGUUGCAGUGCCUCUGUGAUUUGCAUGCCACUGCUAAAUAUGCGAGAGGAUUAAGCCUAUGACAAUAAAUAAAAAUAUUGCAUACAUAUAUGCCAAAUAUAUUAGACAUACGUUUUUGCAUUGAUCGGCG